UCGGGAAUCUUGCACAAUGGGCGAAAGCCUGAUGCAGCAACGCCGUGUGAGCGAGGAAGGCCUUAGGGUCGUAAAGCUCUGUUGUUGGGGCCGAAGGGCGAAGGGUUAAUAGCCCCUAGCCUGACGGUACCCUUCGAGGGAGCACCGGCUAACUCCGUGCCAGCAGCCGCGGUAAUACGGAGGGUGCAAGCGUUGUCCGGAAUUAUUGGGUGUAAAGGGUGUGUAGGCGGACUUGUAAGUCAGAGGUGAAAGCCCGCGGCUCAACCGUGGAAUUGCCUUUGAUACUGCAGGUCUUGAGUCCUGGAGAGGUCGCUGGAAUUCGUGGUGUAGCGGUGAAAUGCGUAGAUAUCACGAGGAACACCAGAGGUGUAGACGGGUGACUGGACAGGAACUGACGCUGAGGCACGAAAGCGUGGGGAGCAAACAGGAUUAGAUACCCGUGUAGUCC
rnacentral:rRNA from 1 species